rnacentral:rRNA from 1 species
UUGAACGCUGGCGGCAUGCCUUACACAUGCAAGUCGAACGGUAACAGCACUUCGGUGGCUGACGAGUGGCGAACGGGUGAGUAAUACAUCGGAACGUGCCCGAGAGUGGGGGAUAACGCAGCGAAAGCUGUGCUAAUACCGCAUACGAUCUACGGAUGAAAGCAGGGGACCGCAAGGCCUUGCGCUCAUGGAGCGGCCGAUGGCAGAUUAGGUAGUUGGUGGGAUAAAAGCUUACCAAGCCGACGAUCUGUAGCUGGUCUGAGAGGACGACCAGCCACACUGGGACUGAGACACGGCCCAGACUCCUACGGGAGGCAGCAGUGGGGAAUUUUGGACAAUGGGCGAAAGCCUGAUCCAGCCAUGCCGCGUGCAGGAUGAAGGCCUUCGGGUUGUAAACUGCUUUUGUACGGAACGAAAAGGUCUUUUCUAAUAAAGAAGGCUCAUGACGGUACCGUAAGAAUAAGCACCGGCUAACUACGU